UUUACAUUUUGUAGGCAAGUUGAGCAGCAUUUUUAGGCAGUUUAUUCUGCUAAUAUUUGUGAUAAGUAGAAGUGUGACCAAGUGUGAACCGACAAACAUGGAUAGUGAUGCGGCAGGAGUUAUUUCGCGGAGCACGACCAACUGAGCUCGUUCCUUUAAAGUAAAUUGGUCCACAAAAAGACGGUCGCCGAUAAGAAAAUCAGCCUGGUCUACAAGCGGCAUAAACUGCAGAACAAGCCGCUACUGAAGCAUCCUAUCAUGCAGAACAUGUUCAAUGGCAAACGUACUUACGGGACUUGCGUCAGGUCGCCCUUCAUAGUGCUGAUGUUAUGCGAUUCCAGCGACUGGCGACGGCCUUUAAGAACAGGACUGGUGGUGCCACUGUCUACGAAAGUGCAGGUGCCACUUCCCAAAAAGGUCUAGUGAGCAAAGGUGGACGAUGGAUUUGUGAUUGUGGUGAAUAGGGCCUAAAUGCAGAUGCUUAGUUGGCUCGACUAGGCCAUGUAUUUCAAAUGAGCUGAGCUGCUCGUCGAAGCUUUCGUAAUACAACCCUUAGAUGUGGGAAUUUUCGUCAUGCAGUAUAAGAUUAGAAGAUGAAAAAUAAAAUAAUUGUU